AACGGUUCCUCACAGAUUUGAACUGCUGUGCAGGCAGACCAUGAUGGUGCACACGCGGAAAAGACCAGAAAGAGAUAUUUUCUUUCACUCACAAAGCGGAGCAGACGGGGAAGUUGGUUUUAACAAGGAAAACACGGAAAAUGGAAACUGCAGAGAACCACAUUCUGUCAUCCUGAAAAAAAGAAAGAGACUACUUUCUCCAAGGAGGUCCAAACGCCAUUGGCACAGACUUUGUUCAGUGAUCAGUAACAUACAUUCAGCCAGGGCCGUCCUUAGGGGGUGCAACUGAUGCGGUCGCACCGGACUCCACACUUGAGGGGUAAACGGACUGAAUGAGAGCCCCCACCCCCCGGGAAUGCUUCCUACUUCGCACCGGGUCCCAAAUCAGCUAAGUAUGGGCCUGCAUUCAUAGUUAAUGGUAAUGACUGAGAUGCUGUGGUUUAAGCAGAUAAAUGUAAGCACUAUAAACCUGAUUAAAUUGAGAAUACAUAUGGACCAAAUAUGUUUUUUUGUGCCUUUGCACUGAUUUGCUUUGACAUUGUUUUAAUUGUUGUAAAGUAUGUUCUUUAUAUGAAUUGAAAACACUGAAUGUGAAGACAUUUUGGU